rnacentral:rRNA from 1 species
GACCCAUCCCGAACCCGGAAGCUAAGCCUACCCGCGCCGAUGGUACUGCAACCGAGGGGUUGUGGGAGAGUAGGAAACCGCCGCAC